CUCCGGUGCUUUUGUGAUGCGCUCUCAAAGAGUCGAGUUGUUUGGGAAUGCASCUCAAAAUGGGUGGUGAACUCCAUCUAAAGCUAAAUAUUGGCGAGAGACCGAUAGCGAACAAGUACCGUGAGGGAAAGAUGAAAAGCACUUUGGAAAGAGAGUGAAACAGUACGUGAAAUUGUUGAAAGGGAAACGCUUCAAGUCAGUCGCGUCGACCGAGACUCAGCCUCGCCUCGGCUUGGUGUACUUCUCGGCUGACGGGCCAGCAUCAAUUUYGUCCCUCGGAUAAUGGCAAGGGAAAGGUGGCACCCUUACGGGUGUGUUAUAGUCUCCUGUCGCAUGCGAGGGGUGGGAUUGAGGACCUCAGCGCGCGCCGAAAGGCGUCGGGGCUUCGGCCCACGCUACGCGCUUAGGAUGUUGGCGUAAUGGCUUUAAACGACCCGUCUUGAAACACGGACCAAGGAGUCUAACAUGCCCGCGAGUGUUCGGGUGNAAAACCCGUGCGCGAAAUGAAAGUAAAAGUUGGGACCUCUGUCGUGGAGGGCACCGACGCCCGGACCAGACCUUCUGUGACGGAUCUGCGGUAGAGCGUGCAUGUUGGGACCCGAAAGAUGGUGAACUAUGCCUGAAUAGGGUGAAGCCAGAGGAAA
rnacentral:rRNA from 1 species